CCUACGGGUGGCAGCAGUAGGGAAUCUUCGGCAAUGGACGAAAGUCUGACCGAGCAACGCCGCGUGAGUGAAGAAGGUUUUCUGAUCGUAAAACUCUGUUGGUAGAGAAGAACGUUGGUGCGAGUGGACAGCUCAUCAAGUGACGUUAACUACCCAGAAAGCUACGUCUAACUACGUGCCAGCAGCCGCGGUAAUACGUAGGUCCCGAGCGUUGUCCGGUUUUAUUGGGCGUAAGGCGAGCGCAGGUGGUUUAUUAUGUCUGGUGUAAAAGGCAGUGGCUCAACCAUUGUAUGCAUUGGAAACUGGUAGACUGGAGUGCAGGAGAGGAGAGUGGAAUUCCAUGUGUAGCGGUGAAAUGCGUAGAUAUAUGGAGGAACACCGGUGGCGAAAGCGGCUCACUGGACUGUAACUGACACUGAGGCUCGAAAGCGUGGGGAGCAAACAGGAUUAGAUACCCUUGUAGUC
rnacentral:rRNA from 1 species